GAGGGUAUAGCUCAGCAGUGGAGUGUGUGCUUAGCAUGCAUGAGGUCCUGGGUUCAAUCCCCAGUACCUCCA
rfam:Camelus ferus unplaced genomic scaffold scaffold370, whole genome shotgun sequence.